GCCAGGCGUGGUGACGUACGCCUGUGAUCCCACCUACUCGGGAGGCUGAGGCGGGAGAAUUGCUUGAACUUAGGAGACAGUGGUUGCAGUGAGCUGAGAUCGUGCCACUGCACUCCAGCCUGGGCAACAGAGCAAGACUCCGUCUCUA
rnacentral:SRP_RNA from 1 species